rnacentral:rRNA from 1 species
CGAAUGCUGACAUAAGUAACGAUAAAGCGGGUGAAAAGCCCGCUCGCCGGAAGACCAAGGGUUCCUGUCCAACGUUAAUCGGGGCAGGGUGAGUCGACCCCUAAGGCGAGGCCGAAAGGCGUAGUCGAUGGGAAACAGGUUAAUAUUCCUGUACUUGGUGUUACUGCGAAGGGGGGACGGAGAAGGCUAUGUUGGCCGGGCGACGGUUGUCCCGGUUUAAGCGUGUAGGCUGGUUUUCCAGGCAAAUCCGGAAAAUCAAGGCUGAGGCGUGAUGACGAGGCACUACGGUGCUGAAGCAACAAAUGCCCUGCUUCCAGGAAAAGCCUCUAAGCAUCAGGUAACAUCAAAUCGUACCCCAAACCGACACAGGUGGUCAGGUAGAGAAUACCAAGGCGCUUGAGAGAACUCGGGUGAAGGAACUAGGCAAAAUGGUGCCGUAACUUCGGGAGAAGGCACGCUGAUAUGUAGGUGAAGUCCCUUGCGGAUGGAGCUGAAAUCAGUCGAAGAUACCAGCUGGCUGCAACUGUUUAUUAAAAACACAGCACUGUGCAAACACGAAAGUGGACGUAUACGGUGUGACGCCUGCCCGGUGCCGGAAGGUUAAUUGAUGGGGUUAGCGGUAACGCGAAGC